rnacentral:rRNA from 1 species
CCUACGGGAGGCAGCAGUGAGGAAUUUUCCGCAAUGGGCGAAAGCCUGACGGAGCAAUGCCGCGUGGAGGAGGAGGGCCUGUGGGUCGUAAACUCCUUUUCUCAGAGAAGAAGUUCUGACGGUAUCUGAGGAAUAAGCAUCGGCUAACUCUGUGCCAGCAGCCGCGGUAAUACAGGGGAUGCAAGCGUUAUCCGGAAUUAUUGGGCGUAAAGCGUCCUGAGGUGGCUUACCCAGUCGACUGUGAAAGCUCAAGGCUUAACCUUGAAACGGCAGUCGAAACUUGUAAGCUUGAGUACGGUAGGGGCAGAGGGAAUUCCCGGAGGAGAGGUGAAAUUCGUAGAUAUCGGGAGGAAGGCCAAAGGCGAAAGCACUCUGCUGGGCCGAUUACUGACACUGACAGACGAAAGCUAGGGGAGCGAAAGGGAUUAGAUACCCCGUGUAGUCCUAGCCGUAAACGAUGAUACUAGUGUGCGCGACUACAAACGUGCAGUGCUGCAGCUACGUACGGUAAGUACGUCCGCCGUCGGGUAGUAGUGCCGCGAGGUAGUAACGUUAAAGUAGUAAGUUAGACGGCGUGAGACGUCGCCGACGGACGACGACGAGGGAGGUAGG